CCCGCUGAAUUUAAGCAUAUUACUAAGCGGAGGAAAAGAAACUAACCAGGAUUCCCUCAGUAACGGCGAGUGAAGAGGGAAGAGCCCAGCGCCGAAUCCCCGUCCGUCCGGCGGGCGCGGGAAAUGUGGCGUACGGAAGACCGCCUCUCCCGGCGUCGACCGGGGGCCUGAGUCCUUCUGAUCGAGGCUCAGCCUUUGGACGGUGUGAGGCCGGUAACGGCCCCCGUCGCGCCGGGGUCCGGUCUUCACGGAGUCGGGUUGUUUGUGAAUGCAGCCCAAAGUGGGUGGUAAACUCCAUCUAAGGCUAAAUACCGGCACGAGACCGAUAGUCGACAAGUACCGUAAGG
rnacentral:ncRNA from 1 species